GCAUCGGUGGUUUAGUGGUAAAAUUAGCCGUUGCCAUCUGUAUUCCAGAUCAAUUCGGCUAGCCCCGGGUUCGAUUCCCGGCCGAUGCA